AACGCGAAGAACCUUACCAACACUUGACAUGUUCGUCGCGACUCUAAGAGAUUAGAGUUUUCGGUUCGGCCGGACGAAACACAGGUGCUGCAUGGCUGUCGUCAGCUCGUGUCGUGAGAUGUUGGGUUAAGUCCCGCAACGAGCGCAACCCUCACUUUUAGUUGCCAUCAUUAAGUUGGGCACUCUGAAAGAACUGCCAGUGAUAAGCUGGAGGAAGGUGGGGAUGACGUCAAGUCCUCAUGGCCCUUACGUGUUGGGCUACACACGUGCUACAAUGGUAUCUACAACAGGAAGCAAGACUGCGAAGUUAAGCAAAUCCUUAAAAGAUACCUCAGUUCGGAUUGCACUCUGCAACUCGAGUGCAUGAAGCUGGAAUUACUAGUAAUCGUGGAUCAGCGUGCCACGGUGAAUGCGUUCCCGGGUCUUGUACACACCGA
rnacentral:rRNA from 1 species